rnacentral:sRNA from 1 species
UGGACCACUUCAAGCAUGACAUCAAAACUAACCUUCCCGGAUAAAAAGGUCACGGAAAAGUCGCUUAAGGUAGGAAUAAUCAGGCUUGUCAUCAAACCGCAGUGAGCGGCAAUAGUGGAAAUAUGAUGCAAACUCAUACAUAUGUGACAAAUAUAGUACCUCAAUUGAUGUUGCAACUUUUUUCUCACUGAUUUUCUCAUACUUUUGUUUCUUUGUUCCUGCUUUCAGACCCUGCCAAGGAAGACUGAAGAGAAAACAAUUACAUAAGUACAUAUCCAAGAGAUUCCAAGUCAUCUCUUCGGCUUUGUUCUGGCCAUACAAAAGGAACAAAAAAUUUAGUCAGACCUAUGUGCAGCGCGACGAUGUGAAAGUGCUCCACUUGACAACAGAUUGAAGUCCACUUGACAACAGAUUGAAGUAUGGAGUAUAGACAGGCAAGAGCCAUAAUGGUAAAAAAGAAAAUCAUGAACUGGUUGGUGCCAAAUCUCACCAAUUCCGAGAUGGGUGUUCACACUUGCAUAUCUUGCUGUCCCAGUCAAGUUUUUGUUCUCCCUGCAGCAUUAAUUAGCAAGUCAGAACCUUGACAAAAUUGACCCUUUUAUGUGCAAUGCCCUUUUAUGCUCUCUUGUUCUCCCACUAGACUCUGUGGGCCUGUGAGGAUCUACUGAGGUCACUAUCAAAAUGGCUUAAUUUGGUAUAGUAUUUACCAGGUAGAGCUUAUGCUAUUGUAAUUAGAAAAGCAUAAAUUAACUCAGACUUGGUCCAGACUAUAGUAGUGAAUGCUGAGCAACUGUAAUUAACUCAGAUAACUUAUGCUAUUGUAAUUAGAAAAGUAUAAAUUAAUCAUGAAUGCAGAGCAAUUGCCCUUUUCAUUGUACCUAUAUGGGAUGUGCUGAUGAGUGGAGGUAUCCCUGUACUUUUUAGCGAGACCGAACUGCAAUUUACCCACCUGAUUAGCUCGCCUACCAAGACCCAUAAGAAAAUUGUCUGGCUUAAUGUCUCGAUGGAGAAAAGAUUUGGAAUGGACAAAUUCCACUCGGCAUACCAUCUGAUCAGCGAGCAUAAGUACAGUCUUAAGAGAUAAUUUUCUGCUGCAAAAAUUAAAUAGGUCCUCAAGGCUUGGACCCAGCAAAUCCAUAACCAAGACAUUGUAGUCUCCUUCUACACCAAACCAUCUGACAUUUGGAAUUCCGGUUCCUCCUUGCAAAAUCCUGUAAAUCUUAGACUCGUAGAGCAACUGGGGAUGCUUUGUCUUCACGUUUUCCUGUAUAAGAAACAAAGCAAUCACAUGCAAACUUCUUUGAAACAAUGAUCUCCCCGAAGGAGCCGCUCCCGAUCUUGCGACCGAGCCGGAACUUGUUCCCAACCCGUGGCUCCAUC